AGCAGUCGCCACGGGAAUACAGAGGGUGCGAGCGUUAAUCGGAUUUACUGGGCGUAAAGCGUGCGUAGGCGGCUUCUUAAGUCGGAUGUGAAAUCCCUGAGCUUAACUUAGGAAUUGCAUUCGAUACUGGGAAGCUAGAGUAUGGGAGAGGAUGGUAGAAUUCCAGGUGUAGCGGUGAAAUGCGUAGAGAUCUGGAGGAAUACCGAUGGCGAAGGCAGCCAUCUGGCCUAAUACUGACGCUGAGGUACGAAAGCAUGGGGAGCAAACAGGAUUAGAGACCCCCGUAGUCCCUGUCUCUUAUAC
rnacentral:rRNA from 1 species